CAGCAGCCACGGUAAUACGAAGGGUGCAAGCGUCAAUCGGAAUUACUGGGCGUAAAGCGCACGCAGGCGGUUUGUUAAGUCAGAUGUGAAAUCCCCGAGCUUAACUUGGGAACUGCAUUUGAAACUGGCAAGCUAGAGUCUUGUAGAGGGGGGUAGAAUUCCAGGUGUAGCGGUGAAAUGCGUAGAGAUCUGGAGGAAUACCGGUGGCGAAGGCGGCCCCCUGGACAAAGACUGACGCUCAGGUGCGAAAGCGUGGGGAGCAAGCAGGAUUAGAUACCCGGGUAGUCCCUGUCUCUUAUAU
rnacentral:rRNA from 1 species